rnacentral:rRNA from 1 species
UAGGGAAUAUUGCUUAAUGGGCGAAAGCCUGAAGCAGCAACGCCGCGUGAACGAAGAAGGCCUUCGGGUCGUAAAGUUCUUUUACGUGGGAUGAGGAAGGACAGUACCACGAGAAUAAGUCUCGGCUAACUACGUGCCAGCAGCCGCGGUAAAACGUAGGAGACGAGCGUUAUCCGGAUUUACUGGGCGUAAAGCGCGUGUAGGAGGCGCUACAAGUUGGAUGUGAAAGCUCCCGGCUUAACUGGGAGAGGUCGUUCAAGACUGUAGGGCUAGAGUGAGGCAAAGGUAGAUGGAACUCCGGGAGUAGUGGUGAAAUGCGUAGAUAUCCGGAAGAACACCAGAGGCGAAAGCGAUCUACUGGGCCUAAACUGACACUGAGACGCGAAAGCCAGGGUAGCAAACGGG